rnacentral:rRNA from 1 species
GAUGAACGCUGGCGGCGUGCUUAACACAUGCAAGUCGAACGAUGAAGCCCAGCUUGCUGGGUGGAUUAGUGGCGAACGGGUGAGUAACACGUGAGUAACCUGCCCUUAACUCUGGGAUAAGCCUGGGAAACUGGGUCUAAUACCGGAUAGGAGCGUCCACCGCAUGGUGGGUGUUGGAAAGAUUUAUCGGUUUUGGAUGGACUCGCGGCCUAUCAGCUUGUUGGUGAGGUAAUGGCUCACCAAGGCGACGACGGGUAGCCGGCCUGAGAGGGUGACCGGCCAAACUGGGACUGAGACACGGCACAGACUCCUACGGGAGGCAGCAGUGGGGAAUAGUGCACAAUGGGCGCAAGCCUGAUGCAGCGACGCCGCGUGAGGGAUGACGGCCUUCGGGUUGUAAACCUCUUUCAGUAGGGAAGAAGCGAAAGUGACGGUACCUGCAGAAGAAGCACCGGCUAACUACGUG